UCAACCAUCAAGCUAAGCUUGUUGUUGGACCCUUUUGUCGCCUGGCGACAGGUCCGAAAGAUAAUGAACGGUGUCAUGGCGACCUUAUAUGCAACGAGCUUGUAAAAUAGCACGCAUUUGGUGGUCGUCUGGCCCGAUCGUCACCUUUUAUUUUUUCUCUA
rnacentral:misc_RNA from 1 species